CCGAAAUCUGCGCCGGAAUCAAGCGGCAUCCAACAUUUGUCACAGCCGUGCACACCGCCACGGACCCCAAUCUCUUCAACUGUGCGUUUACAGCAGUAGCUCAUGCCACGAGCUACUGCGGACAACCCUCCGUUGAGGAGAUUGGGGUCCGUGGCGGUGUGCACGGCUGUGACAAAUGUUGGAUGCCGCUUGAUUCCGGCGCAGAUUUCGG
rnacentral:pre_miRNA from 1 species